UACGAAGGGUGCAAGCGUUACUCGGAAUUACUGGGCGUAAAGCGUGCGUAGGCGGUUUGUUAAGUCUGCUGUGAAAGCCCCGGGCUCAACCUGGGAACGGCAGUGGAUACUGGCAAGCUAGAGUGUGUCAGAGGAUGGUGGAAUUCCCGGUGUAGCGGUGAAAUGCGUAGAGAUCGGGGGGAACAUCAGUGGCGAAGGCGGCCAUCCGGGACAACACUGACGCUGAGGAGCGAAAGCAUGGGGAGCGAACAGG
rnacentral:rRNA from 1 species